UCUACUGAAGCUAAACCCAGAAAUCCCCAAAUCAGCUCAAUUAAUUUCCAAUUCCAGUUCUCCGCCGUUUACAUCUUUAAUUCUACCACCACCACCACCAUUAUUAUCUUCAGUACCACCGCCAUCACCACUUAAUAGAUGGGUUAUAAAUGGAAUAUGAAUUUUUUUAUCGAAAGAGGGAUCGAAGAGAAAAAUGGUGAUAUUAUGAAUCGGAAGUAGGGAUUUCAUAACCCUAUGACGACCAUCGGACAUCAUGGUUACUAGAUGCUGGUACAUUUUCUGCGGCAUCGGAAGAGUGAAUGACAGAUAAAAAGAAUGACCUUAUUAAAUGCCUCUCCAAAAGCACCCAAUAUGGUGGUCAGGAUAUGAACAGAGUUGCAACACCUACAUUAUCAUUUUUAAGAACAAUAAUCAUUCAAUCAAGUUAUAGAGUAAAAACGGCAAGUAGAAACAAAAACAUACGUUUGAGAUUGGAAACGGUAUCAGUGUUUGUAAUGAUUAAAGAUUAGUGUCCAUGUAGAAGCUUCACUGUUUGUGAUGAUUAGUCUUCAAGAGAUGCAGAAUUUGGGUGAUGAGGGUGUGAUUAAGGAAGAAGAGGGUUAUCCUCUGACGGGUUCUGUCAAGGAAGAGAGGAGGCUUGUGAGCAAUAAUUAUUGAGCUGAUGCAGGUGCAGAUCACUUACGAAUUGUGGAUGACAUGCGCUGGAUUGUUCAAUCUCUUUUGGAAGAUAAUUGGUGGUUAAAACGGAUAUUGCCGGAGCGUCUGGGAGGAUUAAGCUUCCAUCUGGAGCUAGAAAGAUUGUACCAAGUGGGUGCCGUGCUAUGAUUUGCCAAGUUGCUGGUGGAAGCAGGACUGAGAAGCCCAUGUUGAAAGUAGGAAACGCUUACCACAAAGACAGAGUGAAGAGAAACUCUUGGCCCAAGGUUCGUGGUGUUGCUACGAAUCCCUCACAGAGGAGGUAACCACCAGCAUAUUGGACAUGCCAGGACUUUUUGUCGUGAUGCACCUCCUGGACAAAAGGUUGGUCUCAUAUUGCUGCUAGGAGAACGUCUUCGUGGGCAGGCUGCUUCAGCUGUGGCUAAGACAGAUAAAGCUCAGGUUCUUCCCUGUUUUACUGUUUUAGUUUGUUCGAAUCAAAACUUAAGUUCUUCCCUGUUUUUCCUAGUUUGAUUUAUGAGAGGUCCUGUGAGAAGGAUACUCUUGUUUUUUCUUGUCUUUAGAUAUUACUUAUUGGUGUGUAGAAUGAUCAUAAUCAAGUCUCUCUGUGAAUUUCAAGUUUGUUGCUUGAGCAAUAUACCGAGUUUAACAACACAGUUUGAGU